AACAGGAUUAGAUACCCUGGUAGUCCACGCCCUAAACGAUGUCAACUGGUUGUUGGGAGGGUUUCUUCUCAGUAACGUAGCUAACGCGUGAAGUUGACCGCCUGGGGAGUACGGCCGCAAGGUUGAAACUCAAAGGAAUUGACGGGGACCCGCACAAGCGGUGGAUGAUGUGGUUUAAUUCGAUGCAACGCGAAAAACCUUACCUACCCUUGACAUGCCAGGAAUCUUGCAGAGAUGUGAGAGUGCUCGAAAGAGAACCUGGACACAGGUGCUGCAUGGCCGUCGUCAGCUCGUGUCGUGAGAUGUUGGGUUAAGUCCCGCAACGAGCGCAACCCUUGUCAUUAGUUGCUACGAAAGGGCACUCUAAUGAGACUGCCGGUGACAAACCGGAGGAAGGUGGGGAUGACGUCAGGUCAUCAUGGCCCUUAUGGGUAGGGCUACACACGUCAUACAAUGGCCGGGACAGAGGGCUGCCAACCCGCGAGGGGGAGCUAAUCCCAGAAACCCGGUCGUAGUCCGGAUCGCAGUCUGCAACUCGACUGCGUGAAGUCGGAAUCGCUAGUAAUCGCGGAUCAGCUUGCCGCGGUGAAUACGUUCCCGGGUCUUGUACACACCGCCCGUCACACCAUGGGAGCGGGUUCUGCCAGAAGUAGUUAGCCUAACCGCAAGGAGGGCGAUUACCACGGCAGGGUUCGUG
rnacentral:rRNA from 1 species